GGGCAAAUGGCAGGGUUUGUCCUGAGAUCCUCAGGACAGAGUAAGGCUUGGUGGAGACACUGAUUUUCCCCACCCCACUUGCUUGGUACCAAUCCACCCCCUGGCAUGGAUAACAGGCACAAGCUGUGAAAGGGGAAAUCCAGCCAAGGCAGAGAGAGAAAUCCUUACUCAGAGGAGCAGAGGAGCCCUAGGAUGUUUUGUGUGAUUGUGUGGUGGUCUCCAACUGAUGUGACUUUACAAACUGCCCUGGCCCAGGCACCUGAGCAACCUGCAAUAGUUUGGAACCAGCCCUGCCCCAAGAAGAGAUGACACUGGGGACACUGUGGGAAGAUAUAUGUCUGCAAAAGCCACAGGAAAAACAGAACACAGUGGUGUAAGAUCCAGGUUUAUUUGCAGUGCACCAGGGAGAAGACGUGGGGUCUUUGCAUUCUUUAAGCAAAAUUCUUCAAUGACCAGGCAGAUUUGGGAUGAUGGGGGAAAUCAGCAGGUGUGAAACUUCUCAGGAGUCCUAUUAAGGAGGGAGGAGGAGGAAAAAAAGAAUAGUGAUACAUGAGGACUCCCCUUCUCACAAACCCUCCCCUGCAUCAGGCAGUAGAGACAGCCUAGGCCUAGGGCUUGAAUGGCUCCUGCUUUUCUCCCCACUUUGGGAGCCCAGGAAAGGGUCAAUAGCCUAUCAGUUCCCAUUAUAAUGGAGCUCCUGACCUGUUGUAAUACUCACAUAGAUGACUAGAAGCCAUUCUGCAGGGGAGAGAGAGAGAGAGAGAGAGAGAGAGGCAAGUAAGCACUUAGAGGGUUUCCUGAGGGCCUCCUGGGUCCAUGAUCAUGGAUAUUUUUGGAACCUGCCUCCUCCCAAAGUUUUCUCUGUUCUGCCACCCCUUUACCCCCCAUGUUACCUGCCUCAUCCACCUGGAUCUCUGAAAGAAGCCCUGUCUGCCCUCUGUGUUCUGCCCCAGAUCCAUCCACACUCACCCCAUUGUCGUUGAAGCUGCCAUCCCCGGCUAUAUUCCCAUUAAAGCUGUGUGAGUUCUGCAAAAAACAUACACAGACUAUUGCUGUAAAUUUGCCAUGACUGAGGGUGGGGGGAGGGAGGCAGACAUAUCUGGGAAAGAAGGUCAGUUCACCAUUUCCUCUCCAUCUGCCACUAAGCUGGUAGCAGGAAAAAGAGGGUCCUUCUGGUGCCCCUAGUCCUGUGACCCUCUGCAGUUGUAUGCAGGAUGGUCCCAGUCCUCUGUCUUAUGGUCCCACAUGGUCUCAUGAUUUCAUGGUCCCACUUCUCUCUCUCAUGGUCCCUUUGCAGGGACACUAAAGAUCCCCAUACAUCCUAAAUCACCCAUCCCCUCCAAUUUGUCCUACCAGGGAAGCUGCCUUAGUGCCUCCCAGCAGCAGGAGACAAAUGGCCAGGAAUGCAACACAGAUCCGUCUCUCCAUGGCUUCUUCUUUGCAACAGGGUACUCUGUCCUUCAGACUAAGACUGUGCAUGAUGGUAAGACUGGGGCUGGAUUUAUAGAGCACAGCUAGAUUUUGCCACAUCAUCCCUGCCUGAGCCAGCCCUGAUAUCCUGACCCAGCCCAUGGCCUUCCUGGUAUCACAAGUCUCCACCUUGGCUUAUCACUGCAACUUAAUCUAUCUCCACCACUCCCUUUUGUGGGAUCAGAGCUACAUUUUGGUUUUUGGGGAGGAACCUCAGGAGUUUCCAGUCAAACUUCCAUUUUAGAUCUAUCUUCAAUAUUAAACCACUUUGCUCAAGCUCUGGGCCAGGGCAGUGUCCCCAGAUGCAGAACCACCCCCUGGUCCCAGACCCUGUCCCAGGGCUGCCUCACGCCUCUGGCAAAGGGUUUGUGCCCCUGCCCCAGCAGGAUUUCCCCGUCUCAACUUCUGCCCACUGCCUUUCAGUCCUUUUCUGGGCCCCUCUGAGAAGAGUCUGCCUCUAACCUCUCUCCCGCUCCCUGUGGGAGCCCCUCCUCCUUGACAGCAGGGGCUGGU
rnacentral:lncRNA from 1 species